CCACAAGAAAACAGAACUCUCAAUAGAUUUGCUACGACUAAUGCAUGUUUCUACUUUCAACCACCAUGUAAUGCUAGACAUUUCAAAAGGGAUUCUUUUCAUAGCAAACAAAACUUUAAUGUUUACUUUGUUAUCGAAACAACCUUUUCUUUUAGGACAAUCCAACUUGAAGAGUCUCGUUUUAUUGCAAAAGAAACACUCCAUUUCCUUUCAGAAUUGACUUUCGAGUCCUUUCAAGAAAGACUUGUUAUUCCUUUUGUCCUUUCUACAUGGGACUUUGUAGCUGCUACUGGCACUUCCAAGACCUACGAGGUUAGUAACUUGGUAUUUCAUCUUCCUUGAUCUCUUCUCCUCUUGAAUUAACAUAGCUUUUAAUUCUCUCAAGUUUCUUUAUCUUUAAUGGUGUUGUAAUUCACUUGAAACUAUCUAAAUUCAAGAGGUAUAAAGUUCAUAAUUUAUUGGACCAGAACCUUUUCAUGCACCUCCAUUACCAAAGUCUUUAACUUUACAGCCAGAUUAAACAUGUGAGUCACAUGAUCACGGAUUGGCUGGGACCAGUCAAACAUUUUUAUAGUUAGCUCAUUUAUGAGACUUCCUACAUCUGACUUACAACCAAAUCCGACUAUGAACACUCCUUAAAUAUACUCUAUAAAUUCCUUCUUAUUUUCUGUCGUAGACAUCGAUGACUUAACCCUAUCUACCGUCAUCAACCUCAUUACGUUCAAACUCAGCCUAUUAGAUUGCUCUCAUCUCUUACACAUAAAUUUUUCAUAUUAUAAGCUAUCUUCCGUAAUGGCCGAGGGCCCCACAUCAAUUACUAUGGCGAAAUCUAAUGUCAUCACACCCAAUGUGAACCGGAUCUUUUCAAACCACUUGCCACAAUUGAGACCAUUGAACUUUUCGAUAGAGUUACCAAAUGCAAAUACAUUUGCUAAAGCUGCAAGCUUUAAUACAU
rnacentral:lncRNA from 1 species